rnacentral:rRNA from 1 species
UGGGGGAUAUUGCACAAUGGGGGAAACCCUGAUGCAGCGACGCCGCGUGUGGGAAGACGGUCCUCUGGAUUGUAAACCACUGUCCCCAGGGACGAAGAUGACGGUACCUGGGGAGGAAGCUCCGGCUAACUACGUGCCAGCAGCCGCGGUAAUACGUAGGGAGCGAGCGUUGUCCGGAAUUACUGGGUGUAAAGGGAGCGUAGGCGGGGGUACAAGUUGGGUGUUAAAUCUACCGGCUCAACUGGUAGUCGCACUCAAAACUGUAUCUCUUGAGUGAAGUAGAGGCAGGCGGAAUUCCUAGUGUAGCGGUGAAAUGCGUAGAUAUUAGGAGGAACACCAGUGGCGAAGGCGGCCUGCUGGGCUUUUACUGACGCUGAGGCUCGAAAGUGUGGGGAGCAAACA